rnacentral:rRNA from 1 species
AGAUGCGAGAGUAGAGCAUAUCAAUAAGCGGAGGAAAAGAAACUAACAAGGAUUCCCUUAGUAACGGCGAGUGAAGCGGGAAGAGCUCAAAUUUGAAAUCUUAAAGGGUUUUCCCUUGACGAAUUGUAGUUUAAAGAAGUGUUUUCUGUUGAAGUUUUCGGUAAAAGUUCUUUGGAAUAGGACAUCAUAGAGGGUGAGAAUCCCGUAUUUGGAUCCAUUCUUUUCUAGCUGUGUGAUACACUUUCAACGAGUCGGAUUGUUUGGGACUGCAGUCCAAAAUGGGUGGUAAAUUUCAUCUAAAGCUAAAUAUUGGCGAGAGACCGAUAGCGAACAAGUACCGUGAGGGAAAGAUGAAAAGAACUUUGAAAAGAGAGUUAAACAGUACGUGAAAUUGUCAAAAGGGAAGCGUUUGACACCAGUGUUGUUUUCUCGAAAAUCAAUUAAAAAUGAUGGGAUUUUGUGUUGUAUUGACUUUAUCAGCUUUCUGCACUUUUUUCUUAUCUUUUUUAAUGCACUUUUCGUUUAACAAGUCAACAUCAAUUUCUUUUGUUGUAAAAGGGUCAUUGGAAGGUGGCUUUUUCUUCGGAAAAAGUGUUUAUAGCCUUUGGCUUCUGCAAUCGGAGAGAUUGAGGUCUGCAGCGUAGAUCCUUCGGGGUUAGAUACAUUUGUGCUAAGCUAUAGUUCUUUAUAGACAACUUGUUGACUAUAAUCAAUCCUGUAACUUACUCGCUUAUGCUAUUUUACCUACGCUUAGGAUGUUGACACACGCGCGUGCUCG